rnacentral:rRNA from 1 species
GUCCUUGCCGUAAACGAUGCACACUUGGUGUAACUGGAUUCAACCCUAGUUGUGCCGUAGCUAACGCGAUAAGUGUGCCGCCUGGGGAGUACGCUCGCAAGGGUGAAACUCAAAAGAAUUGACGGGGACCCCGCACAAGCAGUGGAGCAUGUGGUUUAAUUCGAUGCAACGCGAAGAACCUUACCUAGGCUUGACAUGCAGAAGACGUUACUAGAAAUAGUAAUUCUCUUCGGAGCUUCUGCACAGGUGCUGCAUGGCUGUCGU